CCUACGGGAGGCAGCAGUGGGGAAUAUUGGACAAUGGGCGAAAGCCUGAUCCAGCAAUGCCGCGUGAGUGAAGAAGGCCUUCGGGUUGUAAAGCUCUUUUACCCGGGAAGAUAAUGACCGUACCGGGAGAAUAAGCCCCGGCUAACUCCGUGCCAGCAGUCGCGGUAAUACGGAGGGGGCUAGCGUUGUUCGGAAUCACUGGGCGUAAAGCGUGCGUAGGCGGCCAUUCAAGUCAGAGGUGAAAGCCCAGGGCUCAACCCCUGGAACUGCCUUUGAAACUAGGUGGCUGGAACACGGGAGAGGUGAGUGGAAUUCCGAGUGUAGAGGUGAAAUUCGUAGAUAUUCGGAAGAACACCAGUGGCGAAGGCGGCUCACUGGACCGUUGUUGACGCUGAGGCACGAAAAGCGUGGGGAGCAAACAGGAUUAGAUACCCUGGUAGUCCACGCCGUAAACCGAUGAUAACUAGCUNUUGGGGCUCUUUGAGCCNCACGUGGCGCAGCUAACGACAUUAAGUUAAUUACCGUCCGUCGGGUAGGGUACGGGUCCGGCCGAACGGUUAAAAACCGUUAAAAACGGUAAAAGUUAAGUACGGCGNGAGAACGUGCGAACGACGACGACGAGGGAGGAGG
rnacentral:rRNA from 1 species